UAUGAUGGUAGAUUCUGAAAUCAAUGGGU
rnacentral:piRNA from 1 species